rnacentral:piRNA from 1 species
UCCUAAGAGAUGCUUGUGGAGUUCCGAGU